CGUGAACGCUGGCGGUAGGCCUAAUACAUGCAAGUCGAACGGAAGCACAGUAAGAGCUCGCUCUUACCGGUGGCGAGUGGCGGAUGGGUGAGGCGUAGAUCGGCAUCUUCUUUUUCUUGGGUGACAUCGUAGAGCCACUUCUGCUACUACAGCAUACGACGUACGGCUGAAAGCAAUAGUGCUUCGCACCUUUCCUGUUUGAAUUAGCUGAUGUCGCAUUAGCUAGUUGGCGUGGUAAAGGCCCACCAAGGCGACGAUCCGUAGCUGGUCUGAGAGGAUGAUCGGCCACACUGGAACUGAGACACGGUCCAGACUCCUACGGGAGGCAGCAGUGGGGAAUAUUGCGCAAUGGGCGAAAGCCUGAUCCAGCCAUGCCGCGUGAGUGAAGAAGGCCUUCGGAUUGUAAAGCUCUUUUAUUAGGAAAGAAAAAAAGCAGAAGAAAACCUGGAUGUUCUGACGGUACCCAAUGAGAAAGCACCGGCUAACUUCGUG
rnacentral:rRNA from 1 species